rnacentral:rRNA from 1 species
UUGAACGCUGGCGGCAUGCCUUACACAUGCAAGUCGAACGGUAACAGGUCUUCGGAUGCUGACGAGUGGCGAACGGGUGAGUAAUAUAUCGGAACGUGCCCAGUUGUGGGGGAUAACUACUCGAAAGAGUGGCUAAUACCGCAUACGACCUGAGGGUGAAAGCGGGGGAUCGCAAGACCUCGCGCAAUUGGAGCGGCCGAUAUCAGAUUAGGUAGUUGGUGGGGUAAAGGCCCACCAAGCCGACGAUCUGUAGCUGGUCUGAGAGGACGACCAGCCACACUGGGACUGAGACACGGCCCAGACUCCUACGGGAGGCAGCAGUGGGGAAUUUUGGACAAUGGACGCAAGUCUGAUCCAGCCAUGCCGCGUGCGGGAAGAAGGCCUUCGGGUUGUAAACCGCUUUUGUCAGGGAAGAAAAGGGUGUUUCUAAUACAGACGCCUCAUGACGGUACCUGAAGAAUAAGCACCGGCUAACUACGU